rnacentral:rRNA from 1 species
UUAAGCAUAUCAAUAAGCGGAGGAAAAGAAACCAACAGGGAUUGCCCCAGUAACGGCGAGUGAAGCGGCAACAGCUCAAAUUUGAAAUCUGGCCCCAGGCCCGAGUUGUAAUUUGCAGAGGAUGCUUUUGGCGCGGUGCCUUCCGAGUUCCCUGGAACGGGACGCCAUAGAGGGUGAGAGCCCCGUACGGUUGGACACCAAGCCUUUGUAAAGCUCCUUCGACGAGUCGAGUAGUUUGGGAAUGCUGCUCUAAAUGGGAGGUACAUUUCUUCUAAAGCUAAAUAUUGGCCAGAGACCGAUAGCGCACAAGUAGAGUGAUCGAAAGAUGAAAAGCACUUUGAAAAGAGGGUUAAACAGCACGUGAAAUUGUUAAAAGGGAAGCGCUUGUGACCAGACUUGCGUCCGGUGAAUCACCCAGCUCUCGCGGCUGGGGCACUUCGCCGGCACAGGCCAGCAUCAGCUUGCCGUCGGGGACAAAAGCUUCAGGAACGUGGCUCCUCUCGGGGAGUGUUAUAGCCUGUUGCACAAUACCCUUCGGCGGGCUGAGGUACGCGCUCCGCAAGGAUGCUGGCGUAAUGGUCAUCAGCGACCCGUCUUGAAACACGGACCAAGGAGUCAACCUUAUGUGCGAGUGUUUGGGUGUUAAACCCCUACGCGUAAUGAAAGUGAACGCAGGUGAGAGCUUCGGCGCAUCAUCGACCGAUCCUGAUGUUCUCGGAUGGAUUUGAGUAAGAGCAUAUAGGGUUGGACCCGAAAGAAGGUGAACUAUGCGUGUGUAGGGUGAAGCCAGAGGAAACUCUGGUGGAGGCUCGCAGCGGUUCUGACGUGCAAAUCGAUCGUCAAACAUGCGCAUGGGGGCGAAAGACUAAUCGAACCUUCUAGUAGCUGGUUUCCGCCGAAGUUUCCCUCAGGAUAGCAGUGUUGAGCUCAG